UGCUGGGACUAUAGGUUGGGCUUGAAGGAGAAUAUGAUGGAGAUGUUGGAGAGUACGAUGGUGAUGUGGGACUGCAAACACAAGACCACAUUUAAUCACAUCAUUAGUAAUAUAUCUAGAGCGGGUCUGGAAUCCACCAAUACAAAAACCCAACAACUUCAGAAACUAACUAGUUAUUAUGAAGCUGAAACCAGAUAUAAGUUAGGUAAAGUGACCUAAUUAAGAAGAUUAAGGCGCUACUAAAGUCACUGUAUUAUUAUCAAACAGAACCAAAUUAAGAACCUUUUCUGUCUCAGCAGAAGAAUCAAAGACACAUGUAUCAAACCAAGGUUGUUUACCUGUAACUUGGAGAUGACGGGCUGUAUGGACUAGAAGGAGACAGCUUCGGGCUGGUUGGCGAAUAUGCAAGGGAGGGGCUGUAUCUCGCCGAGGGAUUGUAACUUGGUGAUGUAGGACUGUAGGAUGGUGAUGUUGGGCUAUAGCUGGGAGAUGUUGGGCUGUAACCAGGGGAGGUAGGACUGUAUGCAGGAGAAGUUGGACUAUAUGAUGGAGAAGUCGGACUAUAAGAGGGUGAGGUGGGGCUAUAUGAAGGUGAUGUGGGGCUGUAAGAAGGUGAAGUGGGGCUGUAAGAUGGCGAAGUGGGGCUGUAUGCCGGAGAAGUGGGGCUGUAGGCCGGAGAAGUGGGGCUGUAUGCCGGAGAAGUAGGGCUGUAGCUAGGUGAUGUUGGGCUAUAGCUAGGCGAGGUUGGGCUAUAGCUUGGAGAUGUUGGACUAUAACUGGGUGAUGUGGGUGAGUAUGAAGGACUGGUUGGAGAAUAUGCUGGACUUGUCGGGCUGUAGCCAGGGGAGCUGGGGCUAUAAGUGGGGGAAGUGGGGCUGUAACCAGGAGAUGUGGGGCUGUAACCGGGGGAAGUGGGGCUGUAUCCUGGAGAGGUCGGGCUGUAACCAGGGGAUGAUGGGCUGUAACCAGGGGAUGAUGGACUGUAACCAGGGGAUGAAGUAGGAGAGAAAGCCAUGCCACCCACAUAAGGAGAAAAUUGAGCAUCUGUAAUCGGUGACAUCCGCAUAUUUGGGCUGAGCAAAUAAUUUGGAGACAUCAUUCCAUCAUGAUACGGGGUUCCACUGAUAGGUGAACGCCCAGGUGUCAUGCC
rnacentral:lncRNA from 1 species